rnacentral:rRNA from 1 species
UAGGGUGCGAGCUUUGUCCGGAAUUAUUGGGCGUAAAGAGCUUGUAGGUGGUUUGUCGCGUCUGCUGUGAAAAUCCGAGGCUCAACCUCGGACUUGCAGUGGGUACGGGCAGACUAGAGUGUGGUAGGGGAGACUGGAAUUCCUGGUGUAGCGGUGGAAUGCGCAGAUAUCAGGAGGAACACCGAUGGCGAAGGCAGGUCUCUGGGCCAUUACUGACACUGAGAAGCGAAAGCAUGGGGAGCGAACAGG